ensembl:snRNA U2 U2 spliceosomal RNA
AGCUCCUCGACUCAGACCGAGUGUAGUAUCUGUUCUCAUCAGUUUAAUAUGUGAUGCAUCCCUGACCCGGGGCCAUGUAUUAAAUUGAUAUUUGGAACAGCGUGAUGAGUCGGGACUUUCUCCGUCCACUCCACGCAUCGACCUGGUAUCGCAGCAUCUCCGGGUGUUUGACACCAU